rnacentral:rRNA from 1 species
GCAGCGCGGGGGGUAACUCCUGGCGGCGAGUGGCGAACGGGUGAGUAACAUAUCGGAACGUGCCCUGGAGUGGGGGAUAACCAGUCGAAAGACUGGCUAAUACCGCAUACGAUCUAUGGAUGAAAGUGGGGGAUCGCAAGACCUCAUGCUCGUGGAGCGGCCGAUAUCUGAUUAGCUAGUUGGUGGGGUAAGAGCCCACCAAGGCGACGAUCAGUAGCUGGUCUGAGAGGACGACCAGCCACACUGGGACUGAGACACGGCCCAGACUCCUACGGGAGGCAGCAGUGGGGAAUUUUGGACAAUGGGGGCAACCCUGAUCCAGCAAUGCCGCGUGUGUGAAGAAGGCCUUCGGGUUGUAAAGCACUUUUGUCAGGAAAGAAAUCCCCUGGGUUAAUACCUUGGGGGGAUGGCGGUACCUGAAGAAUAAGCACCGGCUAACUACGUGCCAGCAGCCGCGGUAAUACGUAGGGUGCAAGCGUUAAUCGGAAUUACUGGGCGUAAAGCGUGCGCAGGCGGUUGUGCAAGACAGAUGUGAAAUCCCCGGGCUUAACCUGGGAACUGCAUUUGUGACUGCACGGCUAGAGUGUGUCAGAGGGGGGUAGAAUUCCACGUGUAGCAGUGAAAUGCGUAGAUAUGUGGAGGAAUACCGAUGGCGAA